GACAGAUGGGGUAAGUAUUGGGAUUCUUGAAUAGGGAUGCGUGUACAGGUGGGUUCAAAAAAAAUAAAUUCUAAAAAAACUUAACUUGAGUUUUUUAAUUUAUUAAACCUAGAGGAAUAUAGAAGUUUGAGGAAUAUUGAUUGAGGGUUGAUAUUCAUAGAAAUUGAUUGGAAUAAUAUUAGGCUACAGCAUCAUUCUAUAUAUUUCCUGACACUGAUACACUAAAGUGUAGGUAGCAAAAAGG
rnacentral:rRNA from 1 species